UGAAAAUUAAAGGGCCGCGGUAUUUUGACCGUGCAAAGGUAGCAUAAUCAUUAGUCUUCUAAUUAGAGGCUGGAAUGAAUGGUUGGACGAGGUAUUAGCUGUCUCACUAGAAUGGGCUAAAAUUUAACUUUUUAGUUAAAAGGCUAAAAUAAUAUUGGAGGACGAGAAGACCCUAUAGAUCUUAAUACCCCAAUUACCAACCCUUUUUAGGAGAGUUUAGGUUUGAUAAGACGGGUGUUUUGUUGGGGUGACAAGAAAAUAAAACAAACUAUUCUUAAGGUAAUAC
rnacentral:rRNA from 1 species